rnacentral:rRNA from 1 species
UACGUAGGGGGCAAGCGUUGUCCGGAUUUAUUGGGCGUAAAGAGCGUGUAGGCGGCCAAGCAGGUCCGCUGUGAAAACUCGAGGCUCAACCUCGAGACGUCGGUGGAAACCGUUUGGCUAGAGUCCGGAAGAGGAGAGUGGAAUUCCCGGUGUAGCGGUGAAAUGCGCAGAUAUCAGGAGGAACACCUAUGGCGAAGGCAGCUCGCUGGGACGGUACUGACGCUGAGGCGCGAAAGCGUGGGGAGCGAACAGG